rnacentral:rRNA from 1 species
ACCUCUAUCGAGAAAGCGGAAGGUUCAU